UAUAACUUAUUUUAAAAAGAAUUUUUACUUUUGGUGUAAAAGGUUUGGUUGUAA
rnacentral:tRNA from 1 species